GCCAACUGGGGACUGAAAAAAUUCAGAGAGAGAGAACCAUGAAAGUCAAGGGCAUUGUAAGGAUGAAUUUAGAACCUCCAAUGACAGCAGGCCCUCAUUUGGAUGCUUGGAUUCUAAAAUGUUUGCUAAAAGUUGUCCCAGCACUAGAAGACAUUCUAAGCCCAAGCUUAUUCCAAGUCUUGCAAGGACAUUGAAGUUGAUGCAGCUUUCUGGCCCAGAUGGACCUGGGGAAGAACCAAGUAGGAUACUGAGUCUGUGUGGGGAUGCUGGCCAGGGUCCUGAGUCCAGAAGACUGUCCCGCUGGCUCAAAUUGGUGUGCCUUCCAGCAGAUCUUUAAGUCCUUGCACAAAUGGAAAGUUUUCCAACUGCAGCAGGAGAGGCUACAGAAUAGACUGGGCUCCCAUGGGAUCUACUGUGGGACAGAGGCUGAAGAAGCUGGUCUUGGCUCAGAGGAAUGUGUGUAACCCAACAAGUUUCUGCACAGGAGGUGGUAGAAAAAGAAUACAGCACAUCAUCAGGAAUUAGUUUAAACUGGGACGUGGAUGAAGCUGGAAACUAUCAUUCGC
rnacentral:lncRNA from 1 species